CUACGGGGCGCAGCAGUGGGGAAUAUUGGACAAUGGGGGAAACCCUGAUCCAGCAAUGCCGCGUGUGUGAAGAAGGCCUGCGGGUUGUAAAGCACUUUCGGUUGGGAGGACUGCUUCUAGCACUAAUAUUGUUGGAAGUUGACGUUACCUUCAGAAGAAGCACCGGCUAACUCCGUGCCAGCAGCCGCGGUAAUACGGAGGGUGCAAGCGUAAUCGGAAUUACUGGGCGUAAAGCGCGCGUAGGCGGCUAGAUCAGUCGGGUGUGAAAGCCCCGGGCUUAACCUGGGAACUGCAUCCGAUACUGUCUAGCUUGAGUACAGGAGAGGAGAGUGGAAUUCCACAUGUAGCGGUGAAAUGCGUAGAUAUGUGGAGGAACACCAAUGGCGAAGGCAGCUCUCUGGCCUGAUACUGACGCUGAGGUGCUAAAGCGUGGGGAGCAAACAGGAUUAGAUACCCCAGUAGUC
rnacentral:rRNA from 1 species